rnacentral:misc_RNA from 1 species
AUCAUCUGUGAACUGAAAUUCACAACCAUUUCUAGUCAAACUAGAUAUAGAAAUGAUGUUCUUAAAAGCAUCAGGCACAUACAAAAUAUUAUUCAAACACAAAACAUGUCCACACAUGUAAAAAGAUUUAGAUCUUAUGGCUAAAGUUUCAACAGUUGAGCCAUCGCCAAUCCGGAGUCUAACAUCUCGAACAUGUAAGCUGCUACUGUUUGCUAGUUCCAGAAGCAUGCUGAUGAAGAUGGCAUCUGUAUCUACCAGAAGCAUCUCAAGAAGUUAAUGAGGAAAUGAAACAAAUAAUUUUCAUUGUCGAGCAAUUCAUGUCGAACUAGUCUCUCCAAGAUUAUAUUCUGAGGCAGAAGUUCACUGUAAAAUAGUACGGUGGAGACAGAAGCCGCAGGCUCACUUAUUAGGGAUGUCAAUAGCCUCACCAGUGACCGGAACAUCACCGGAGUAUGAGACUGCUUGAAAAAAAAAAAAAAAAAAAAAAAAAAAAAGCAGAAGAAAUAUUAGUAGCAAGAAAGGUUUUUCAUUAUCUUGAAGAAACAAUAAAAAAGAAAAAGAAUGAAACAGCAAUUGCU